GGGCGUAUAGUUCAGUUGGAAGAACCGCAGAUUACGAAUCUGCAGGUCGGAGGUUCGAACCCUUCUACGCCCUCCA
rnacentral:tRNA from 1 species